rnacentral:rRNA from 1 species
GCGUGAGUGACGAAGGCCCUAGGGUCGUAAAGCUCUUUCAGCUGUGAAGAUAAUGACGGUAGCAGCAGAAGAAACCCCGGCUAACUCCGUGCCAGCAGCCGCGGUAAUACGGAGGGGGUUAGCGUUGUUCGGAAUUACUGGGCGUAAAGCGCGCGUAGGCGGACCAGAAAGUCAGGGGUGAAAUCCCGGGGCUCAACCCCGGAACUGCCCUUGAAACUCCUGGUCUUGAGUUCGAGAGAGGUGAGUGGAAUUCCGAGUGUAGAGGUGAAAUUCGU